GACGAACGCUGGCGGCGUGCCUAAUACAUGCAAGUCGAGCGAACCAAUGGGAGCUUGCUCCCUGAGGUUAGCGGCGGACGGGUGAGUAACACGUGGGUAACCUGCCUGUAAGACUGGGAUAACUUCGGGAAACCGGAGCUAAUACCGGAUAAUUUCUUUUCUCGCAUGAGGAGGGAUGGAAAGAUGGUUUUGCUAUCACUUACAGAUGGACCCGCGGCGCAUUAGCUAGUUGGUGAGGUAACGGCUCACCAAGGCGACGAUGCGUAGCCGACCUGAGAGGGUGAUCGGCCACACUGGGACUGAGACACGGCCCAGACUCCUACGGGAGGCAGCAGUAGGGAAUCUUCCGCAAUGGACGAAAGUCUGACGGAGCAACGCCGCGUGAGCGAAGAAGGCCUUCGGGUCGUAAAGCUCUGUUGUUAGGGAAGAACAAGUAUCGGAGUAACUGCCGGUACCUUGACGGUACCUAACCAGAAAGCCACGGCUAACUACGUGCCAGCCGCCGCAGUAAAAC
rnacentral:rRNA from 1 species